CGUAGGAAGAAAAACGGACUUCUAAGGCACCCGACAGAUUCUCCACAAUGGGCUCUUAUUAACAAUUAAUUUCCAGAAUUUGGCAAAGAAGAUAGGAAUCUUAGGCUUGCUUUUUGUACGGAUGGAAUGAAUCCAUUUGGUAGUCUAAGCACCCAACAUAGCACAUGGCCAGUUCUCUUGGUUAUUUAUAACCUUCCACCUUGGUUGUGUAUGAAGCGGAAAUAUAUGAUGAUGCCUUUGUUGAUAACAGGACCUAAGCAACCCAGAAAUGAUAUUGAUGUCUACCUUGCUCCACUCAUUGAUGAUUUGAACAAAAUGUGGGAUGAAGGAAUCUCGGUUUUUGAUGCUCAUUCUAAUGAGUAUUUUACAUUGCGGGCUAUGUUAUUUUGUACAACCAAUGACUUUCCGGCUUAUGGUAAUUUGUCAGGGUAUAAGAUCAAGGGAAAGAAGGCAUGUCCAAUAUGUGAAGAUGAGACAGAAUCAACCUAUUUGCCGAAUUCUAGAAAGUAUGUGUAUAGAGCAACUCGAAAGUUCCUUGAUAGGAUGCAUCCUUACCUAAAGAAAAAAGCUGCAUUCAAUGGUAAGGUAGAAGAGGGGAGAGCUCGUAGGCCAUUAUUGGGAACAUAAGUUUAUGAUCGAGUUAGAGGCAUUGAAACGAUGUUCGGAAAACCAAAUAAAGCCACCGAUCCGGAGGUCAUUUGGAAAAAAGAAUCAGUGUUUUGGAAGCUUGAAUAUUGGCAACAUUUGCCUUUUAGACAUUAUUUGGAUGUCAUGCACAUAGAAAAGAAUGUGUGUGAUGCCAUUCUCGGGACACUGUUUAAUAUUCCACACAAGACAAAAGAUGGGGUGAAGGUUCGCAGAGAUAUGGUGCAAAUGAAGAUUCGACUAAAGUUAUGGCCUGUGAUUAAGGAGAAUGCAAAGAAAGGAAAAGGAACCUCAUCAUACUUACCUCCUGCUUGUUAUAUAUUGUCUCGAGAGGAAAAAAAGAAAUUUUGUGAGUGCUUUUAUGACAUUAAGGUCCCUAGUGGAUAUUCAUCCAACAUUAAAAGACUCGUCUCCAAAACCGAAUUGAAAUUGGUCGGUAUGAAAUCCCAUGAUUGUCAUGUCAUGAUGCAAGUGUUCUUGCCUAUAGCUAUUCGUGGGAUAUUACCAAAGCAUGUUAGAGAUGUCAUUACAAGACUUUGUUCAUUUUUCAAUACUAUAUGUAAUAAGGUGCUUGAUUUGAAGAAGUUAGAUAGUUUACAAUCAGAAGUCAUCGUAACAUUGUGUCAAUUUGAGAUGUUUCACCCACCUUCCUUCUUUGACAUAAUGGUUCAUUUGGUCAUUCAUCUUGUUCAAGAGAUUAAGCUUUGUGGUCCGGUUUUUAUGAGAUGGGCUUACCCAUUUGAAAGGCAUAUGGGAUCCAUACAGCAUAAAAGACCGGAAGCUUGUAUUGUUCAAGGGACGGUGGCAGAGGAGAUUAGUAACUUCAUUGCUGAGUUUGUGUCCAAAGCUCAACCUUUUAGACUCCCAAACUCUCGGCAUGAAGGGAGGCUAGAAGGUAAGGGAACAAUUGGUGGUAAAGAUAUAUUCACCCCUCCACAAAAGCAUAUGCAAGCACACCUCUUUGUGUUACACCAUGUUACGAAGGUUCAUCCGUACCUAGAGAAGCAUAUGAGUGAGUUGAGGUCUGCAAAUCCUACCAAAGGUGAAAGGGUCCUAAUGUUAGAACAUAAUCACCUUUUUAUUGAUUGAUUCUGUGAUGAAGUGAUGCAUGAGUUUUCCCAAGCAGGAAACAAUGUCUCUGACAUAAUCAAAUGGUUAGCAUACGGUCCUCAAGAAACUGUAUGCUCUUAUGAAGGUUAUGACAUCAAUGGCUAUAGUUUCUACACUGAACGUCAAGAUAAAAGAUCAAGGAUUGUGCAAAAUAGUGGUGUUACGGUUGUUGCUUCCUCUAGAGAAUAUGCAAGUGCCAAGGACAAGUUCCCAAUUGAUGCAACAUUAUCAUACUACGAAGUAAUCCAAGAGAUUUGGGAGCUUGAUUACACAGAAUUCAAAGUGUCACUAUUUCAAUGCAAGUGGUCGAAAAAAGGUCGACGUGGUAUGAAAAGGGAUGGACCAUUCAAUUACACUUUAGUUAACAUGAGUCGUUUCCGUGACACUGCUAAGCCAUUUAUAUUAGCAUCACAAGCCAAACAAGUGUUCUAUGUAAGGGACAUGAUUGACAAAGAAUGGUAUGUUGUUGUUCAAGGGAAGAGAUACAUUCUUGGUAUAGGUGAUGUCGAUGAUGAAGAAGAGUAUGAUAAAUUUGAUGACAAGCCACCAUUCUUAAUUCUAGAAUCUAAUGCGCUUGAAGGAUUGGACGUUGACACCAAUUACAUGCGCGUAGAUCACCAAGAAGACAUUAUUGUUUAAGAACCUUAAUGAUCAAUUCCUUAUGAUCAUGUUGCAUUAUUAUUUCAGUUGAACUUUUGUGUAUUUUUGGUUCUUUUAAAUCAUCUGACUUUUUGUGCAUUGCAGUUAUUGUAUAAUUCAGUAUUUCAGUACUAUCAUAUAUAGUGUAGUUCAGUUUUAAUUGAUUCUAUUUUUUACUACCACUUAUGGGACUUAAAACAACCUGAAACGAAAGCUAAGGGAAUUUUUUUAUCCACUUUAUACUGCUGUAUAUCAAGGUCUACCAUUUCAGAUUUACCAAGGUAUGCCAUUUCAGAUUUACCAAGUCACAAUGUAUUUGGAGGCUUAUCUCAGUCUGUUUAGGGAACACAAAACUGAAAAUCAGAUAAAUAGAUACAGAGGCUGCCAAACUGAUUUCUGGUUUAGUGUAGGAUAGUGGGUUAAAAUACAUCAUGAUCAUAUCCUGUGUUUCUACUUCUGUAAUUUCUAGUUUUUGGAGUUUUUUUUUUUUUUUUUUGUUUUUUUUUAAUCGAAGUUUUAUAUAUGUUGUAAUUUUAUACAAAAAAGUUGUUGUGAGAUGCUGCUUAUUAAUUGUAAUUUUUAACAUUUACAGGUAAAGGGGCUAUGACAUGUAAUGAUGAAUUUGAUGACGAAGAUUUGGAAUUUGAUGAAGAUUUGAAAUAUGAUGAAGAGGUAACUGAUAAAUCUGAGAGUGACCCCGAGUAUGAUGUUGCUUUAGAGGAGGAUAAGGGUGAACCGGAAGACAUUGCUGCUGAGAAAUUAGGACAAAUGCUUGAUGAUUUUGAGAGGAUGGCUGAUACAGCUUCUCUUAAUGAUUCUAAAGUGACAACUACAACACCAUCUACAGCUGCAAAUACAACCCAUCAAGUUGUAACAACUGGUAAGAAGGGGAUAGGCUCAGGAAGAGGUCGUGGCUCUGGUAAGGCAAGAUUUCCGACUAGAGGUCUAAGAGUGAAUGAACCUAUGCACCUUGAAUUUGAUGAAUUCUUGCGUCCAACUGGGAAAUGGCGAUUAAAGUAUGGUCAACAGAUUGGCCUGUGUAUGCGCAAGCUGAACAUUAAUUGGGAAUGGUGUAGUGUCAAAAAAGGCUUAAAGACAACAUUGUGGCAGGAGACCCAGAUCGCGUUAUGACCAUGGUUUGAUGAGUUGCUACUUUGAAUACGAUAAAUCGAUUCACACAUCGGAUAAUAUACAAUUACACAAAUC